ACAUCUGGUUUUGAAGAAUGGUUUGUGGUAUCCUACCAGUACAUGGUUAGUUGUUUCAAAUAGGUCUUUAGGUGGACCCAUAUUGUCCCAUCUAUGAUGAUCCCGUUGAGCAUAUUGAUCACUUAUGGGAAAGUGUAUUUAUGCUGAAUAUGUAUGAAAAUGUAGUCCGCUUCGUCAUACUCCUAAUAACCAUAUGGAAUUCGGUGAGU
rnacentral:lncRNA from 1 species